GCUUACGGCCACACCGCCUGGCAUACGCUUGAUCUCGGAAGAUAAGGUAGGUUGGGCCUGGUUUACUUGGAUGGGAGACCGCCUGGGAAUACCAGGUGCUGUAAGCU
rnacentral:rRNA from 1 species